UUAUCCAAAGACCAAAGGAGAGAAAUGCAGGACUCAUUAGCAGUGCCCAGGAGAUAGGGGGGCGGGUGGGUGUGGCUAUAAAAACGCAACCCGGGGGGUGCCUGUGAAGGAAAUCUGCGUCCCGCGGAACGCAACACGCUGUUGGGAUACUGGAUUGUCCUUUGUGAGAUGCCACUAUCGGGGGAAACCGGAUGGCUUCACAGAAAAAGUUCGUUUAAAGGAAAAUGGUUUAAGGCCAAGGAAAUACCUAGAAAACGGAAAGUCUUGAAACCAGAGCCGCUGUAACUCUGCUUAUUUUCAGGAAAAAGAAUGCCUGUGUUUCGAAGUUCCUUCUUAGGACGAAACCAGCUGAAGCUGGCGAAAUCCAAGAUGGCGCCUCUGAAGAGCCUCUGGCUUUAUCAUCAUCCUGUUCUCAUGCUAAACAACAUGUCGCCAUGACAACGACUGGAAGAGACCAAGAAGGGACAGAAAAAAAGGGGUUUCUUGAUUCCGGGAAAAAUCUCCGUUCUUUCCCAAGGAAAGCACGAAUAUUCCCCCCCGUGCUCUUAAUGCCCAGCCCCUUCAUUAAAGACACCCUACCUCUGAAACU
rnacentral:lncRNA from 1 species